rnacentral:rRNA from 1 species
AGAGCGGGAGCCCGGAGAUGGGCACUGAGACAAGGGCCCAGGCCCUACGGGGCGCAGCAGUUGCGAAAACUCCACAAUGCACGAAAGUGCGAUGGGGCUACCCCGAGUGCCGUCCGCUGAGGACGGCUUUUCCACGGUGUAAGGAGCCGUGGGAAUAAGGAGAGGGCAAGCCUGGUGUCAGCCGCCGCGGUAAUACCAGCUCUCCGAGUGGUGAGGACGAUUAUUGGGCUUAAAGCGUUCGUAGCCGGCUUAACAAGUCUUCCGUUAAACCCAACGAUCUAAUCGUUGGGCCGCGGAAGAUACUGUUGGGCUAGGAGGCGGGAGAAGCCGACGGUAUUCUCGGGGUAGGGGUGAAAUCCUGUAAUCCCGGGAGGACCACCAGUGGCGAAGGCGGUCGGCU